UGAGUCCGGACCUAGCGGCGGACGGGUGAGUAAUGCUUAGGAAUCUGCCUAUUAGUGGGGGACAACAUCUCGAAAGGGAUGCUAAUACCGCAUACGUCCUACGGGAGAAAGCAGGGGAUCUUCGGACCUUGCGCUAAUAGAUGAGCCUAAGUCGGAUUAGCUAGUUGGUGGGGUAAAGGCCUACCAAGGCGACGAUCUGUAGCGGGUCUGAGAGGAUGAUCCGCCACACUGGGACUGAGACACGGCCCAGACUCCUACGGGAGGCAGCAGUGGGGAAUAUUGGACAAUGGGGGGAACCCUGAUCCAGCCAUGCCGCGUGUGUGAAGAAGGCCUUAUGGUUGUAAAGCACUUUAAGCGAGGAGGAGGCUACUUUAGUUAAUACCUAGAGAUAGUGGACGUUACUCGCAGAAUAAGCACCGGCUAACUCUGUGCCAGCAGCCGCGGUAAUACAGAGGGUGCGAGCGUUAAUCGGAUUUACUGGGCGUAAAGCGUGCGUAGGCGGCUUAUUAAGUCGGAUGUGAAAUCCCCGAGCUUAACUUGGGAAUUGCAUUCGAUACUGGUGAGCUAGAGUAUGGGAGAGGAUGGUAGAAUUCCAGGUGUAGCGGUGAAAUGCGUAGAGAUCUGGAGGAAUACCGAUGGCGAAGGCAGCCAUCUGGCCUAAUACUGACGCUGAGGUACGAAAGCAUGGGGAGCAAACAGGAUUAGAUACCCUGGUAGUCCAUGCCGUAAACGAUGUCUACUAGCCGUUGGGGCCUUUGAGGCUUUAGUGGCGCAGCUAACGCGAUAAGUAGACCGCCUGGGGAGUACGGUCGCAAGACUAAAACUCAAAUGAAUUGACGGGGGCCCGCACAAGCGGUGGAGCAUGUGGUUUAAUUCGAUGCAACGCGAAGAACCUUACCUGGCCUUGACAUACUAGAAACUUUCCAGAGAUGGAUUGGUGCCUUCGGGAAUCUAGAUACAGGUGCUGCAUGGCUGUCGUCAGCUCGUGUCGUGAGAUGUUGGGUUAAGUCCCGCAACGAGCGCAACCCUUUUCCUUACUUGCCAGCAUUUCGGAUGGGAACUUUAAGGAUACUGCCAGUGACAAACUGGAGGAAGGCGGGGACGACGUCAAGUCAUCAUGGCCCUUACGGCCAGGGCUACACACGUGCUACAAUGGUCGGUACAAAGGGUUGCUACACAGCGAUGUGAUGCUAAUCUCAAAAAGCCGAUCGUAGUCCGGAUUGGAGUCUGCAACUCGACUCCAUGAAGUCGGAAUCGCCUAGUAAUCCCCGAUCCAGAAUUCCCCCUGGAACGUU
rnacentral:rRNA from 1 species